rnacentral:tRNA from 1 species
GGCCGGAUGGCGGAGUGGUGACGCACCGGAUCGCAAAUCCGUUCAGCCUGGUUCAAUUCCAGGUCCGGCCUCCA